rnacentral:rRNA from 1 species
ACGUAGGGGGCAAGCGUUAUCCGGAAUUACUGGGUGUAAAGGGAGAGUAGGCGGCAAUUUAAGCCAGAUGUGAAAGCCUAUGGCUUAACCGUAGGAUUGCAUUUGGAACUAAGUAGCUAGAGUACAGGAGAGGAAAGCGGAAUUCCUAGUGUAGCGGUGAAAUGCGUAGAUAUUAGGAAGAACACCAGUGGCGAAGGCGGCUUUCUGGACUGAAACUGACGCUGAGGCUCGAAAGCGUGGGGAGCAAACAG